rnacentral:rRNA from 1 species
UACCAGCACCCCGAGUGGUCGGGACGUUUAUUGGGCCUAAAGCAUCCGUAGCCGGUUCUACAAGUCUUCCGUUAAAUCCACCUGCUUAACAGAUGGGCUGCGGAAGAUACUAUGGAGCUAGGAGGCGGGAGAGGCAAGCGGUACUCGAUGGGUAGGGGUAAAAUCCGUUGAUCCAUUGAAGACCACCCGUGGCGAAGGCGGCUUGCCAGAACGCGCUCGACGGUGAGGGAUGAAAGCUGGGGGAGCAAACCGG